GGUGUAGCUCAGGGGUAGAGCAUCGGUUUGUGGUUCCGAGGGUCGCGGGUUCAAAUCCCGUCAUC
rnacentral:tRNA from 1 species